GAUGAACGCUGGCGGCGUGCCUAACACAUGCAAGUCGAACGAAGGUAUAUAUAGGAAGUCUUCGGAUGGAAUAUGUAUAACUUAGUGGCGGACGGGUGAGUAACGCGUAAGUAAUCAACCUGUGACACACGGAUAACUGAUAGAAAUGUCAGCUAAUACGAGAUGAACUGUUUAAAUUGGGAAAUGGAAACAGCAAAGCGAAAGCGGUCACAGACGAGCUUGCGUCUGAUUAGCUAGUUGGUGGGGUAAGAGCCUACCAAGGCAACGAUCAGUAGCCGGCCUGAGAGGGUGAACGGCCACAUUGGAACUGAGACACGGUCCAAACUCCUACGGGAGGCAGCAGUGGGGGAUAUUGCACAAUGGGGGGAACCCUGAUGCAGCAACGCCGCGUGAGUGAAGAAGGCCCUAGGGUCGUAAAGCUCUGUCGUAUGGGAAGAAACAAAUGACUGUACCAUACAAGAAGCCCC
rnacentral:rRNA from 1 species